rnacentral:rRNA from 1 species
AUAUUGGACAAUGGGGGCAACCCUGAUCCAGCAAUGCCGCGUGUGUGAAGAAGGCCUUCGGGUUGUAAAGCACUUUUGUUGGGGAAGAAGAAUAGUUGUUUAAGAGAUAGCUAUUUUGACGGUACCCAAAGAAUAAGCACCGGCUAACUCUGUGCCAGCAGCCGCGGUAAUACAGAGGGUGCAAGCGUUAAUCGGAAUUACUGGGCGUAAAGCGCACGUAGGCGGCGCGAACAGUCAGAGGUGAAAGGCCUGGGCUCAACCUGGGAACUGCCUUUGAUACUAGCGUGCUUGAGUCCGGAAGAGGGUGGCGGAAUUCCCAGUGUAGAGGUGAAAUUCGUAGAUAUUGGGAAGAACACCGGUGGCGAAGGCGGUCACCUGGUCCGGUACUGACGCUGAGGUGCGAAAGCGUGGGGAGCAAACAGG